rnacentral:lncRNA from 1 species
AGCACAAGUCUAAACUGAAGAAAAGAGAAGAGAAGAGAAAAAGAGAAAGAAAUACUUUAGAGAUUCACUGGCAAAUUGCUUACCAUUGUAAGAAAGAGGAAGAAACAUCUGUGAGUGUUUAGACUGCUUUGUAUUAUAUUCAAAUCCUCUCAAUGAGAGAUAUAGUCUGAACAUACUUGUAAGCAAUCGUUAAUUGUAAUUCUGAAGAGAAUUAAAACACCCACAAUUGGACUCAGUUGAGUUGAGGAAUCUUAGCAAGGUUGCUAAGUACGAGGAGCGGUUUGAAUACUCAAAGGAAAUCUUGGCAGGGUGCUGAGUACCAAGAGUGGUGCAAAUACUCAAAGAAAAUAUAGGCAGGUUGUUGAGUAUCAGGAGUGGUGUGAAUACUCAAAGGAAAUAUCGACGAAGUAGUUGAGUACCAGGAGUGGUGCUAAUACUCAUUUGUAAUCGUGUGAAGAUUAUAGUGGAAUCCUCUGCAGAGGAGACUGAAUGUAGCUUAGUUGGAGUGAACCAGUAUAAAAUCUCUUGUGCAAUUAUCUCUUCUCUUACUUGAGAGAUCCUCAUGCGAAAACCUACAGUUGCGCUUUAUUUCCAAACACAAGAAUAUUCCAAGUUAAACAAUUUAUUUUAUAAAGGAAGUUAAC